AGAAAAGACUGAAUUUCUUGCAUAUUUAUGAGCGUUAUAUCGGAUGGUGUCCUUUAUUGACUGAUAAAGUUUGAUCUUGAUCUGAUCCGGAUUACAGAUAUUCAUCUGUGAUUUCAAUUUGU